rnacentral:misc_RNA from 1 species
UCCGGCUUGACACCGGCAGUCUCCCUAGAGUUCCCGGCAUGACCCGCUGGUAACUAAGGACAAGGGUUUCGCUCGUUAAGGGACUUAACCCGACAUCUCACAACACGAGCUGACGACAGCCAUGCAGCACCUGUGCACGUUCCAGUAUUGCUACCGUUACUCUACUUUCAUAGAGCUAAUCCGUGCAUGUCAAAUCUAGGAUAAGGUUCUUCGCGUAGCCUCGAAUUAAGCCACAUGCUCCACCGCUGGUGUGAGCCCCCGUCAAUUCCUUUGAGUUUCAGCCUUGCGACCAUACUCCCCAGGCGGGGUACUAAACACUUUCGCUUCGGCAGGAGGCGACAUCGGAUCGCUUCCUACCCAGUACCCAUCGUUUACGGCCAGGACUAC